ACCUGUAUCGAAAGUGACUGUGGCGUCCUCGUCGCCAGGUCAUUGAUAGUACAGGAAGAUCAAACUGCAAGCCUUUCCCGUGUUUGAAGGAUGUGUUCCUAUCAGACCCUGGCGCUCUCAGACA